rnacentral:rRNA from 1 species
GACGAACGCUGGCGGCGUGCCUAAUACAUGCAAGUCGAACGCAGUGGGGCCGGGUGAGUAACACGUUGGUAACCUCCCAUCAGAGGGGAUAACACUGGGAAACAGGUGCUAAACCGAUACUGAUGGAUGGACCAGCGGUGCAUUACCUAGUUGGUGAGGUAACGGCUCACAAAGGCAACGAUGCAUAGACGACAUGGGAGGUGGUUCGGCCACCCGUGGAAUGAGACACGGCCCAGACUCCGACGGGAGGCAGCAGUAGGGAUUCUUCGGCAAUGGACGAAAGUCUGACCGAGCAACGCCGCGUGAGUGAAGAAGGUUUUCGGAUCUUAAAACUCUGUUGUUAGAGAAGCGGUAUCUAACCAGAAAGCCACGGCUAACUAAGUGCCAGCAGCCGCGGUAAUAC